UUCUGUUUUAGUUUUGUUUUGGUUCUAAAAAGUUACUCUGAUAUUUCAGCUUUCCAAAUUUAUUGAGACUUAUGGUCUAGCAUAUGAUCUGUCUUGACAAAAGUUUCACAUGCACAGGAAUAUAUAUUUAAACUCAAGGUGUGCAGAUUUUGUUCAGAUAGAUAGUGUCUAGAUUUUCUAGAUUGUCAGUGAAUUUUUACAAUUGUUUUAUAAGUUACAAAGAGAAUAGUGUAAAAAAUUUCUGCUGUGAUUAUGAUUUUCUUUAUCUUUAGUUCUCUCAGUUCUUCGUGUAUUUGGAAAUAUCUUAUUGUUUAUACUUUUAUGAACAUCAUGACUGUAAUAAAUUUUAUCUUUUCCUAA
rnacentral:lncRNA from 1 species